GAUGAAGAACGCAGCGAAAUGCGAUAAGUAAUGUGAAUUGCAGAAUUCAGUGAAUCAUCGAAUCUUUGAACGCACAUUGCGCCCGCCAGUAUUCUGGCGGGCAUGCCUGUUCGAGCGUCAUUUCAACCUUCAAGCCCCCGGCUUGUGUUGGGGACCUGCGGCUGCCGCAGGCCCUGAAAAGCAGUGGCGGGCUCGCUGUCACACCGAGCGUAGUAGCAUACAUCUCGCUCUGGGCGUGCUGCGGGUUCCGGCCGUUAAACCACCUUCAUAACCCAAGGUUGACCUCGGAUCAGGUAGGAAGACCCGCUGAACUUAAGCAUAUCAAUAAGCGGAGGA
rnacentral:misc_RNA from 1 species